rnacentral:tRNA from 1 species
GGUGAUUGUAGCUCAUCAGUAGAGCGCCCGCCUGUGGAGCGGGAGGCAGCGGGGGCGGCACCCGUCAGUCACCC